rnacentral:tRNA from 1 species
GGUCCCAUGGUGUAAUGGUGAGCACUCUGGACUCUGAAUCCAGCGAUCUGAUUUCAAAUCUCAGUGGGACCU